GUAAUCUCAGCUACUGAGGAGGCUGAGGCAGGAGGAUGGCGAGAUCAAAGCCAGCCUCAGCAAGGGCGAAGCACUAAGCAAGUCAUUGAGAGCCUGUCUCUAAAUAAAAUACAAAGUAUGGCUGGGGACGUGACUCAGUGGUCGAGUGCCCCUGAGUUCAAUUCCCGGUACCAAAAAAAAAGUGCUUACAUUCAGUUUGGCCAAAAAUAAAAUAUUUUUUCGUAGUGGAAAACUGACCAGUUUCUUGUGUUCAGGAACACACAGCAUUGUACUCAAGCACUUACGAACCAGCCCUCAGCUGGAACUGUGGGGUCACACGUCAUUCAGAUUUAAUCGCAGGCUGGUAAGUCUUCAUGGUACAGGAUCAGUAAGUGGGAGCUAUUUAGUAAACAAUAAGUCGCUUCCUAAUUCAUGAAGAAACUAGAAACCAUGAUCCGGAGGAGUAUCUGGACCUUUCCUCCUUUCUCCUCGGUGCCUUUCCCUCUCCCCAUCACCUCAGUGUCCUGCUGCUGCUUUUCCCAGAUGCACAGUAAGAGUGAGGAAGUCACGCCCGCCUCUGCAUGCAGCCCAGCGUCCCACCACUCACAGCGCGUCUGUCCGGCUGACCGUCCUCACACUCCUGCUCAUCUCCCAGUCUUGCUCCUCUGCACAAGACUGUGCCUGACUUGUGCACCUUGGCCUUCCAUACUUACCUCUGAGUAGACUGAAAAAAUAUUCCUAGAAUCGAAAUGGAACUACAUGGGGACAUUUUCCACCGGAUAUUUUCUUUCCAUGGUGAUUGCUUCGUCCAGAAUGAGAGCCAGACAGUGGUAAGGAGAGCCUGAAGGGGGCAGCAUCUCUCUGAGGAAGUAAGUCCUCAAAAUGAAACCAGAACUUGGAAGACAGAGGAGGCCAGACUCCUGGACAGGCUAAGGUGGCUGCCUACCCAGGUUCUCCAUAAGGUCCCUGCCCCCCACUUCCCUUUUUCUUUUCCCCCACCCCCGUACUGGAGCUUGAUCUUGGGUACUCUACCACUGAGCUACAUCCCCAGCCUUUUUUUUUUUCUUCUUCUUUUUGGAGACAGUCUGAGAUACCCAGGCUGUCCUCGAGUUUAUGAUCCUCCUGCCUGAGCCUCCCACUUCACUGGCAUUACAGGUGUGCCUCACUGUGCCCCACUCCCCUC
rnacentral:lncRNA from 1 species